CUAGUACUCCCUCCGUCCGGAAAUACUUGUCCUAAAGAUGAAUGUAUCUAGACAUAUUUUAAUUAUAUAUACAUUCAUUAUAGCCAUUUUUAUGACAAAUUAAUAUUUCCAGACGGAGGGAGUAUUAG
rnacentral:pre_miRNA from 1 species